rnacentral:tRNA from 1 species
GUGGAUAUAGUUCAGUUGGUUAGAGCGCCAGAUUGUGGUUCUGGAUGUCGUGGGUUCGAAUCCCACUAUCCACCCCA